GGAUUAGAUACCCUGGUAGUCCUUGCUGUAAACGAUGUAUACUUGAUGUAACUGGAAUCAACCCUAGUUGUGUCGAAGCUAACGCGAUAAGUAUACCGCCUGGGGAGUACACUCGCAAGGGUGAAACUCAAAAGAAUUGACGGGGGCCCGCACAAGCAGUGGAGCAUGUGGUUUAAUUCGAUGCAACGCGAAGAACCUUACCCAGACUUGACAUACAGUAGACGAUGUUAGAGAUAGCAUUUCCCGUAAGGGCUGCUGUACAGGUGCUGCAUGGCUGUCGUCAGCUCGUGCCG
rnacentral:rRNA from 1 species